AGCGCUCGCCUGUGCCCUCCGCUGCUGCGUGUGCUCGCGAGGGUGCGUGGUGCGCCGCCGCCGCCGAUUGAACGGGAGGGCCGCCGCUGCCUCGCCCGAUGCAUGCCCUUCCACGACCGCUGGCGAGAGGUGAGGUUCUAGCCAGCGGAUCGACGAUGGCUUCCUUGCUCUAGCCCCAGCGGCUCCUAAGUCGACUGCCGCAUCCCCGGAGACCGGCGCCCCGGACCGCCGCGGCCCCAGCGCCUGGUACUUGUAUAUGUCAGCUUUGGAGCUGUGUCCUGGUCCUUGGAAUUGCCAUCUACCAGAUCGGAGAGGGGGAGCAACAAAGACAGAGGUUUUAGAAAAUAUCAAUGUGAGCUUACAGUAAGAGAGCUCUUGAUUCGAUGGGCCCCGGGAGGGAUGUAAACCGCUGCUAGCAAGGCCACAACUGCCACACAAGUGUGGGAGAAAGGGAGAGGGGCCAUAGCAUAUGGCUUCUGGAGGAGGGUGACAUCAGUAGUUUGAGAAGCCAAGCUCCCUAUGUUUGUGAUUGCAAGAUGAAAGCAAAAACUUGGGUGGAAGCAUGACAAGCACCAUGCAUGCUACAGAUUUGCAAAGCUGUUUUUGUUUCUUGCUUGCUUAAAAAAUGGCAAAAUAUAUAAGUAGCUUUUGAAAAUAGUUAUGAGAUUACAUCAGUAAUUUAUAUUUUA